UGAGAACCCCCUGGUGUAGACCAAUAAAACUGCUAGUCUUCCUGUAUAAGAAUAUCUUUCCAGCAUAUAUUCUGCAAUGUAUAACUUCAAUUACUGUAGGAAAUUUUGGUGACAUCAACUGCUGAUUUUCCUUAAAUGGUCUUGUAUGUUGGACUGUGUGUGUAAACAAUGGAGGCUGGUGUGUCAGGAAAUCCAUUUACAUGUCUACAGAACACACUUAAGUGGUAGCAUUCUGAGCAUUUCAAAUUCAGCAUUUCUUGUACGCCUCUGGCAUUCUUCAUAGAUUUCUGAAUAGUCAGUUCAGGAGAACCUCACACAGUUCAGGAGAACCAGGUGUGAGGAGCUCUGCAAAGGAGCUGCUCCUGCGCUUGGUCUUGCUAGACGUAUGCCCUCAACAGAAAUCUUCAUCCCCACCCAGACAUUUUUCUUUUGGAAGUAUCUCUUUCUGUUACUUCAUAUUACUCUCACUCUCCAGUCGUCCCUCUCUUUCCAUCUGUUUCUGUCACUCUCUCCACCUUUUCUGUCUCAUUCCCUCUCCCCCUGUCUCUCUCUGCCACUUUCCAUCUCUCUCUCUCACUCUCUCUCUCUGUCCCUGUCUCUCUCUCUGUCUGUCUGUCUCUCUCUCUCUUCCAAUGCAGCUGCUGUUCUCCUUCAGCCCGAAGUGGGGGAAAACUGCCCCACUCCCCCCCAUGAAAUAGCCUUGAAAUCUGCCCUCAACCUCCUCCAUGUUCUCACCACCAAACACUGCAUGACCGCCAGCCUCACACACAGGAGGCCCGCUGGAGGUGAUGAAAACUGUUCUGUAGCCCGAUAACUGGGCUGUCCAAAGAGCUGUUGGACGGAAGACCGGAAUGCAAAGGCCACAAGGUUACCCAAAGGGUGCUUCAAGUUGAACUAAUCCAGUUGCUGGAACUAAUCCACUAGACUUCUUUGUGCUGAUCCUUAAUAGGUCCAGCUGCAUGGCCAUAGAGGAGGCUUUGUAGUCCUCCAUUAAAUGUGAAUCACUGCAAAGAGAAAAUCACUUUUGACUUAUGCCUCCAAUGUACCAUGUACAGUAUACACGUAUAUACAUUGUCUAAUCAGCGCAGGCAAUAGAAUGUAAUGAGGUGGACUCUGCUACAGCAUUAAUCUGAGACAGAAUUUCCAUGAUUGUGUGAGUUUUGAAAUAUGAGCCUUCAGAGCCUGAGCGAGGGUAUUAGGAAGAGAUGCUCAUUAAUGGACAUCAAACCCAUCUUUCGAUGUCCUAUUUGUGGGCCAGACAGCUUGCAGGUUGCCAGUGUAGACUCACAGACUCAUUUAUCAGAACAUUUAGGGUCAUAAUGGAAACCUAUAUUUAUACGAAUAUCACCAGGGUGACUGAGCAUUAGAAAGUACAAUGGAAGCACAAUGAUAUUAUUUCAUUACUUGCCAGAUCUGUAUUUCGCACCCUGACCUAGAAUGGCUUAUACAUUGUACAUUUUUUAAAACCGUUUUUACCAUCCACACAGUACUACAGGACAUGACAUGUCAACUGGAAAAUAAUAAUCUCUUACUGAAGACAACUGGUCACAGUGCCUGUCACAGUAGGCACCUGGUGUAUCACAGUGAGGAUAGCGUUUUUUAAAUAUUUUUUUUACAUUAUAUCCAUUUAUACAACUUGAUAUUUAACAAAGGAAUUCAGGUUAAGUACCUUGCUCAAGGGUGUAACAGCAGUGCCUUAUCUGGAAUGUUAAUAAGCAAUCCCCUGUUAA